GAUGAACGCUGGCGGCGUGCCUAAUACAUGCAAGUCGAGCGAACAGACGAGGAGCUUGCUCCUCUGACGUUAGCGGCGGACGGGUGAGUAACACGUGGAUAACCUACCUAUAAGACUGGGAUAACGUCGGGAAACCGGAGCUAAUACCGGAUAAUAUAUUGAACCGCAUGGUUCAAUAGUGAAAGACGGUUUUGCUGUCACGUAUAGAUGGAUCCGCGCCGCAUAAGCGAGUUGGUAAGGUAACGGCUUACCAAGGCACCGAUGCGUAGCCGACCUGAGAGGGUGAAUGUCCACCCGGGAUGUGAGACACAGUAGACACUCCUACGGUAGGCCGCAGUCGAGACUCUUCCGCGAUGGGCGAAAGCGUAACAGAGCAACGCGACGUGAGUGAUGAAGGUCUUCUGCUCGUAGAACUCUGUUAUUCGGGAAGAACAAAUGUGUUAGUAACUGUGCACGUCAUGACGGUACCUAAUGAGAAAGCCACGGCUAACUACGUG
rnacentral:rRNA from 1 species